AUUGAACGCUGGCGGCAGGCCUAACCCAUGCAAGUCGAGCGAGCGGCGGACGGGUGAGUAAUGUAUGGGGACUGCCCGAUAGAGGGUGAUAACUACUGGAAACGGUUGCUAAUACCGCAUACUAUCGGAUAACCCAUAUUGUAUUAGCUAGUAGGUGGGGUAAAGGCUCACCUAGGCGACGAUCUCUGGCUGGUCUGAGAGGAUGUUCAGCCACACUGGGACUGAGACACGGCCCAGACUACUACGGAGUGAGAAGGGGGGAAGAUUGCACAAUGGGCGCAAGCCUGAGGCAGCAAUGCCGCGUGUAUGAAGAAGGCCUUAGGGUUGUAAAGUACUUUCAGCGGGGAGGCGUUACCCGCAGAAGAAGCACCGGCUAACUCCGUGCCAGCAGCCGCGGUAAUUC
rnacentral:rRNA from 1 species